rnacentral:ncRNA from 2 species
AUGAACUUCAAGGUUUAGAGCGCCGGGAAGUCCGUGGGAAACGGACACAGCCCCCGCUACUGUAACCGGGGACGAAUCCCAGAAGACGCCACUUUCCGAGUCUCAACGGAAAGGAAGGCCUGGGGUGAGAAGGAUCCGGGAGUCAGGAGACCGGCUCUAAACCUGGCCAGCCC